CAAGACGUAGCUUAACUAACCAAAGCACCCGGCUUACACCCRGAWGAUUUC
rnacentral:tRNA from 1 species